GGUUAAGCGACUAAGCGUACACGGUGGAUGCCCUGGCAGUCAGAGGCGAUGAAGGGCGUGCUAAUCUGCGAUAAGCGCCGGUAAGGUGAUAUGAACCGUUAUAACCGGCGAUACCCGAAUGGGGAAACCCAGUGUGACUCGUCACACUAUCAUUAACUGAAUCCAUAGGUUAAUGAGGCGAACCGGGGGAACUGAAACAUCUAAGUACCCCGAGGAAAAGAAAUCAACCGAGAUUCCCCCAGUAGCGGCGAGCGAACGGGGAGGAGCCCAGAGCCUGAAUCAGCAUGUGUGUUAGUGGAAGCGUCUGGAAAGGCGCGCGAUACAGGGUGACAGCCCCGUACACAAAAGCGCAUGUGCUGUGAGCUCGAUGAGUAGGGCGGGACACGUGGUAUCCUGUCUGAAUAUGGGGGGACCAUCCUCCAAGGCUAAAUACUCCUGACUGACCGAUAGUGAACCAGUACCGUGAGGGAAAGGCGAAAAGAACCCCGGCGAGGGGAGUGAAAAAGAACCUGAAACCGUGUACGUACAAGCAGUGGGAGCACCCUUUGGGGUGUGACUGCGUACCUUUUGUAUAAUGGGUCAGCGACUUAUAUUCUGUAGCAAGGUUAACCGUAUAGGGGAGCCGGAGGGAAACCGAGUCUUAAC
rnacentral:rRNA from 2 species